rnacentral:rRNA from 1 species
UACGUAGGGACCGAGCGUUGUCCGGAAUCAUUGGGCGUAAAGAGCUCGUAGGCGGCUUGUCGCGUCGACUGUGAAAUCCCGCGGCUCAACUGCGGGUCUGCAGUCGAUACGGGCAGGCUAGAGUUCGGUAGGGGAGACUGGAAUUCCUGGUGUAGCGGUGAAAUGCGCAGAUAUCAGGAGGAACACCGGUGGCGAAGGCGGGUCUCUGGGCCGAUACUGACGCUGAGGAGCGAAAGCGUGGGGAGCAAACAGG